rnacentral:rRNA from 1 species
GGGAUCUUCGGACCUCACGCUAUCAGAUGAGCCUAGGUCGGAUUAGCUAGUUGGUGGGGUAAAGGCCUACCAAGGCGACGAUCCGUAACUGGUCUGAGAGGAUGAUCAGUCACACUGGAACUGAGACACGGUCCAGACUCCUACGGGAGGCAGCAGUGGGGAAUAUUGGACAAUGGGCGAAAGCCUGAUCCAGCCAUGCCGCGUGUGUGAAGAAGGUCUUCGGAUUGUAAAGCACUUUAAGUUGGGAGGAAGGGCAGUAAGUUAAUACCUUGCUGUUUUGACGUUACCAACAGAAUAAGCACCGGCUAACUUCGUGCCAGCAGCCGCGGUAAUACGAAGGGUGCAAGCGUUAAUCGGAAUUACUGGGCGUAAAGCGCGCGUAGGUGGUUCAGCAAGUUGGAUGUGAAAUCCCCGGGCUCAACCUGGGAACUGCAUCCAAAACUACUGAGCUAGAGUACGGUAGAGGGUGGUGGAAUUUCCUGUGUAGCGGUGAAAUGCGUAGAUAUAGGAAGGAACACCAGUGGCGAAGGCGACCACCUGGACUGAUACUGACACUGAGGUGCGAAAGCGUGGGGAGCAAACAGGAUUAGAUAC